UACGUAGGGUGCGAGCGUUGUCCGGAAUUAUUGGGCGUAAAGGGCUCGUAGGCGGUCUGUCGCGUCGAAAGUGAAAACCCAGGGCUUAACCCUGGGCCUGCUUCCGAUACGGGCAGACUAGAGGUAUGCAGGGGAGAACGGAAUUCCUGGUGUAGCGGUGAAAUGCGCAGAUAUCAGGAGGAACACCUGAGGUGAAGACGGGUUGCUGGGCCGACACUGACGCUGAGUGCGCGAAAGCCAGGGGAGCAAACGGG
rnacentral:rRNA from 1 species